rnacentral:rRNA from 1 species
GGACUGAGACACGGCCCAUACUCCUACGGGAGGCAGCAGCAGGGAAUAUUGCGCAAUGGACGAAAGUCUGACGCAGCGACGCCGCGUGGGCGAAGAAGGCCUUCGGGUUGUAAAGCCCUUUUCUGGGGGAAGAGGAAGGACGGUACCCUAGGAAUAAGCGUCGGCUAACUACGUGCCAGCAGCCGCGGUAAGACGUAGGACGCAAGCGUUAUCCGGAUUUACUGGGCGUAAAGCGUCUAUAGGCGGAGGGGUAAGCUGGACGUGAAAGCUCCGGGCUCAACCCGGAGAGGUCGUUCAAUACUGCCCGACUAGAGGGUGUCAGGGGGGAGUGGAAUUCCCGGUGUAGCGGUAAAAUGCGCAGAUAUCGGGAGGAACACCAGUGGCGAAGGCGGCUCCCUGGGGCACACCUGACGCUGAGAGACGAAAGCUAGGGGAGCGAACAGGAUUAGAGACCCUGGUAGUCCUAGCCCUAAACGAUGGAUGCUAGGUGUGGGAUCGAACGAUUCCGUGCCGCAGCAAACGCGAUAAGCAUCCCGCCUGGGGACUACGGCCGCAAGGUUAAAACUCAAACGAAUUGACGGGGCCCCGCACAAGCAGCGGAGCGUGUGGUUUAAUUCGAUGUUACACGAAGAACCUUACCUGGGUUUGACAUGUAGGUGGUAGGGAGCUGAAAGGCAAACGACCCUUCGGGGAGCCUACACAGGUGCUGCAUGGCUGUCGUCAGCUCGUGCCGUGAGGUGUCGGGUUAAGUCCCGUAACGAGCGCAACCCUUGCCCUUAGUUACAAGUGUCUAGGGGGACUGCCGGCGGAAAGCCGGAGGAAGGUGGGGAUGACGUCAAGUCAGCAUGGCCCUUAUGCCCAGGGCUACACACACGCUACAAUGGACGGUACAAAGGGCAGCGAAGCCGCGAGGUGAAGCGAAUCCCAACAAAGCCGUUCGUAGUUCGAAUUGCAGGCUGCAACUCGCCUGCAUGAAGCUGGAGUUGCUAGUAACCGCGCGUCAGCUAUAGUGCGGUGAAUACGUUCCCGGGGCUUGUACACACCGCCCGUCACGUCAUGGGAGUCGGUAACGCCUGAAGCCGGUAGCCUAGCUCUAACGAGGGGGCGCCGUCGAGGGUGGGACUGGCAACUGGGACGAAGUCGUAACAAGGUAGCGGUACCGGAAGGUGCGGCUG